rnacentral:lncRNA from 1 species
CACACACACACACACACACACACACACACCACAAAUUGUUUCCUUGGAGAAGCAUUCACAUUGCUGGAAAUGUAUCAACUUUUACCUUGGGCAAAUCCUGAAAGAGACAGAGGCAGAGAGAUGGCAAUAGUUACCUUACACAGCUCAGUGCAGUGAGGCUGUCACUCCCAAAAACACUCCUGAGCUCAGAGUGCCCACCAGCGUACAUCUAUGGUCUGUCUCUUCAUUAAGUCCAUUAAGAGUAACAGAGAGGACAUUUCUAUCCCAUGCUUCACUUUAAGAUACUUUGUUCUUUUUUUGGCAACAUUUAUUCCACCCUGGGAAGCCAAGAGGACCGUUUCUCUUGGUGUGUGCAAAGCUCUCCAGGCUGAAGGCCAUUUAGCCAUAAUCAGCUAGAGACAGAGGCAAGCAGUCAUGUCUAGACUUUGUCUCUAGGCUCCAGUGUUUAAAGAAACUUAAGUCUCUAAUAAAGAAAAUGAUCAGAGAUCCCAGGGACAACUCAUGUUUGCCCCCAGGUGAUUGUAUUCUGUUCUUAGACAUCCAUGAUGUCAUUCAUCACACUCCACAGAGGUUCCUCUGUCUGCUUCUUUCUUCCAUAGUCACCUGUCUGUUUCUUCUUGUUCCUGGUACCAGAAGGUUUGAGGUCCACAUGGNACAAGAGGGGGCUGACUUCAAUAGUUAGUAUGGCAGCCUUCAAUCACAAUACAGAAAAAGAGGGCAGCAGGGGCAAUGAGCAGAUCCUGGCAAAGAAGGCAGCGAGUAGAGUCUUGGUUCUUUCCUUCCCUUUCCAACAUUACAAGGCCUUGGUCUUUGACACAUCGUCUACUGUGUGUGAUCACCAUUGAGUGUGUCAGUUAGCACCCAAGGGGACAGUUUGAUGGAAAACACAGUGAAAGGGGCUGAUCUACUGUAUUGUAAUGUAAAACAGCUACAUUCAGUAUUUUAUAAGAUUAUAAAACAUUCAUUAAAAAAUCAGCACAUAAAAUAUGAAGUGC